rnacentral:rRNA from 1 species
CACUGCAAGUCGAGCGAACUGAUUAGAAGCUUGCUUCUAUGACGUUAGCGGCGGACGGGUGAGUAACACGUGGGCAACCUGCCUGUAAGACUGGGAUAACUUCGGGAAACCGAAGCUAAUACCGGAUAGGAUCUUCUCCUUCAUGGGAGAUGAUUGAAAGAUGGUUUCGGCUAUCACUUACAGAUGGGCCCGCGGUGCAUUAGCUAGUUGGUGAGGUAACGGCUCACCAAGGCAACGAUGCAUAGCCGACCUGAGAGGGUGAUCGGCCACACUGGGACUGAGACACGGCCCAGACUCCUACGGGAGGCAGCAGUAGGGAAUCUUCCGCAAUGGACGAAAGUCUGACGGAGCAACGCCGCGUGAGUGAUGAAGGCUUUCGGGUCGUAAAACUCUGUUGUUAGGGAAGAACAAGUACAAGAGUAACUGCUUGUACCUUGACGGUACCUAACCAGAAAGCCACGGCUAACUACGUGCCAGCAGCCGCGGUAAUACGUAGGUGGCAAGCGUUAUCCGGAAUUAUUGGGCGUAAAGCGCGCGCAGGCGGUUUCUUAAGUCUGAUGUGAAAGCCCACGGCUCAACCGUGGAGGGUCAUUGGAAACUGGGGAACUUGAGUGCAGAAGAGAAAAGCGGAAUUCCACGUGUAGCGGUGAAAUGCGUAGAGAUGUGGAGGAACACCAGUGGCGAAGGCGGCUUUUUGGUCUGUAACUGACGCUGAGGCGCGAAAGCGUGGGGAGCAAACAGGAUUAGAUACCCUGGUAGUCCACGCCGUAAACGAUGAGUGCUAAGUGUUAGAGGGUUUCCGCCCUUUAUGCUGCAGCUAACGCAUUAAGCACUCCGCCUGGGGAGUACGGUCGCAAGACUGAAACUCAAAGGAAUUGACGGGGGCCCGCACAAGCGGUGGAGCAUGUGGGUUUAUUCGAAGCAACGCGAAGAACCUUACCAGGUCUUGACUCCUCUGACAACUCUAGAGAUAGAGCGUUCCCCUUCGGGGGACAGAGUGACAGGUGGUGCAUGUCGUCA